CUACGGGAGGCAGCAGUGGGGAAUAUUGGACAAUGGGCGCAAGCCUGAUCCAGCAAUGCCGCGUGGGUGAAGACGGCCUGCGGGUUGUAAAGCCCUUUGGGUGGGGAAGAACGGCGGGCGGCGAACAGCGGCCUGUUUUGACAUUACCCACGAAACAAGCACCGGCUAACUCCGUGCCAGCAGCCGCGGUAAUACGGAGGGUGCGAGCGUUAAUCGGAAUUACUGGGCGUAAAGCGUGCGUAGGCGGAUGGGUCAGUCAGCCGUGAAAGCCCCGGGCUCAACCUGGGAACGGCGGUUGAGACGGCCCGUCUUGAGUGGGCUAGAGGACUGUGGAACUCCCGGUGUAGCGGUGAAAUGCGUAGAGAUCGGGAAGAACACCGAUGGCGAAGGCAGCGGUCUGGGGCCACACUGACGCUGAGGCACGAAAGCGUGGGGAGCAAACAGGAUUAGAAACCCUGGUAGUCC
rnacentral:rRNA from 1 species